AUGAGCUGGACUUCUCUGCUGCUGCUGCCCUUCUUACCAUAUGUUCAUGGAAUCAGUCUGAGCUCGUCUCCUGCUCAGUUGAAGCCUCCUGGAGGAUCAGUGAGGCUGUCCUGUGAGGUUUCUGGCUAUCUUCUCACUGACAUUGGUACAGUCUGGAUCAGACAGCCUCCAGGGAAAGCCUUGGAGUGGAUCAGGAUCAUUUGGGGUGGUGGAUCUAUAGACACUGGAGCUUCCUUUAAGAGUCGUUUUACAAUUUCCAGAGACACAAGCAGUAACGUGCUGUUCUUAGACAUCAGCAGCCUGGAGACUGGAGACACGGCUAUUUAUUACUGUGCAAAGACUGACACAGCAGUGCAGGAGCUCUGUACAAAACCCAUCAACAUCUCUGUUAGUGUUGAACUGGCUCAACCUGGUUUCAUGCUGGUCAGUCCAGGCCAGAGUUUGACCAUCAACUGCAAGGUUUGGUAUCCUGUUACAGUCAUACAUACAGCUUGGAUCCGACAUCCUGCAGGAAAAGCUCCAGAGUGGAUUGGAUAUAUUGAUACCAGUGGGGAUACAGCUUACAGUCGUAAACUAAGACACAAGUUCAGCAUCUCCAGAGACACUGGAACCAACACAAUAACAUUACAAGGACAGAAUCUGUUAGAAUGA